GACGAACGCUGGCGGCGUGCUUAACACAUGCAAGUCGAACGGAAAGGCCCUGCGUUUGUGGGGUGCUCGAGUGGCGAACGGGUGAGUAACACGUGAGUAACCUGCCCUUGACUUUGGGGUAACUUCAGGAAACUGGGGCUAAUACCGGAUAGGAGCUCCUGCUGCAUGGUGGGGGUUGGAAAGUUUCGGCGGUUGGGGAUGGACUCGCGGCUUAUCAGCUUGUUGGUGGGGUAGUGGCUUACCAAGGCUUUGACGGGUAGCCGGCCUGAGAGGGUGACCGGCGACAUGGGGACUGAGGUACGGCGCAGACGGGAACGGGAGGCAGUAGUGGGGAGUAUUGCACAAUGGGCGGAAGCGUGAUGCAGAGACGCCGCGUGCGUGAUGACGGCCUUCGGGUUGUGAACCGCUUUCGCCUGUGACGAAGCGUGAGUGACGGUAAUGGAUAAAGAAGCACCGGCUAACUACGUG
rnacentral:rRNA from 1 species